ensembl:lncRNA
AGAGGUACGCCUGAAUGAUUAAACAUUUAAUAGUGAAAUGCAUUAAAUUUACAAUGUAUUUUCAUCAAUUACAGUUGAUACAAAUAAAACAUUGGAGAAAACCUGUGACUUCAACACCAAGUGGCUAAACGGUCUUCUCAUUGGAUCUGGGGUCUUGAAUGCAUUUCUGAUUGGACUGCUGUCAGUGCUGUGGAAGACAGCGACUCUCCAGAAGACUCAUGACUCUCAUCGAACCUCUGAACCACCUGGUGGAACAUGUGGACUGGAGGUCAGUAUCUGCAGUAGGAUUUUGAAGAUAAUAAUGUGUUUAUGAGGGACAGGUUUUCAGUCAUUUCCACAUUGUUUUUCAGUAUGAAGUGAUACAGCUACCACCCCCAAAACGACCCAGGCCUGACCACAUCACUUCCAUUACAUAUUCUGAAGUGUGGAUUCUAAAUCCUGAAUAACAAUUUCUUAAAAAGGUCCCACAUCUGUAUGUCCUCACUUUGAAUUUAUGGGCAAUUACGAAAAUACAUAUGAUUUUUUAAAAUAAUGUGUAUUAGAAUAUGAAAAUAUAUCUUUUGUGGGGAAAGUGAGAAAGAUGUUUGUGUGUUUCUGUUAAAGCCCACCUAGAGAAUGUUUGGUUAGCUGACAUACAUUCAUAUCCUGUUUGAAAAAAAGUGUUGUAUUAUACCUUUCUGGUUUGAAGUUACCUUCGACCACAGCUGAAAGUACUAUUACUUGCUUAUUGCUAAUAGUUCCUUUAGUUGUGGUCAAAGCUAGGUAGAAGCUAAAUAGAAAUGUUAAAUAUAUUUUGUUAUUUAAAGGUAAAACUACUGUAUGGUUUGGAAUGUCAGGAUCUUGGACCUUUUUAAUCCGUCUCAGUCUUUGUUCACUAUUCAUGG